UGGCUUAAUGGUAGAGCGUUCGACUCAAAUACGAAAGGUCGCUGGUUAGAAGCCCAGU
rnacentral:tRNA from 1 species